rnacentral:misc_RNA from 1 species
UCGUAACAAGGUUUCCGUAGGUGAACCUGCGGAAGGAUCAUUACCGAGCGAGGAUUCUCUCGAAUCCAACCUCCCACCCGUGUUUAUUGUACCUUGUUGCUUCGGCGGGCCCGCCUCACGGCCGCCGGGGGGCAUCUGCCCCCGGGCCCGCGCCCGCCGAAGACACCUUGAACUCUGUAUGAAAAUUGCAGUCUGAGUCUAAAUAUAAAUUAUUUAAAACUUUCAACAACGGAUCUCUUGGUUCCGGCAUCGAUGAAGAACGCAGCGAAAUGCGAUACGUAAUGUGAAUUGCAGAAUUCAGUGAAUCAUCGAGUCUUUGAACGCACAUUGCGCCCCCUGGUAUUCCGGGGGGCAUGCCUGUCCGAGCGUCAUUGCUGCCCUCAAGCCCGGCUUGUGUGUUGGGUCUCGUCCCCCUCCCCGGGGGGACGGGCCCGAAAGGCAGCGGCGGCACCGCGUCCGGUCCUCGAGCGUAUGGGGCUUUGUCACCCGCUCUGUAGGGCCGGCCGGCGUCUGCCGAUCAACCACAAUUUUUUUCCAGGUUGACCUCGGAUCAGGUAGGGAUACCCGCUGAACUUAAGCAUAUCAAUAA